rnacentral:rRNA from 1 species
ACGCUAGCUACAGGCUUAACACAUGCAAGUCGAGGGGCAGCAUCAUCAAAGCUUGCUUUGAUGGAUGGCGACCGGCGCACGGGUGAGUAACACGUAUCCAACCUGCCGACAACACUGGGAUAGCCUUUCGAAAGGAAGAUUAAUACCGGAUGGUAUAGUUUUCCCGCAUGGGAUAAUUAUUAAAGAAUUUCGGUUGUCGAUGGGGAUGCGUUCCAUUAGGCAGUUGGCGGGGUAACGGCCCACCAAACCUACGAUGGAUAGGGGUUCUGAGAGGAAGGUCCCCCACAUUGGAACUGAGACACGGUCCAAACUCCUACGGGAGGCAGCAGUGAGGAAUAUUGGUCAAUGGACGAGAGUCUGAACCAGCCAAGUAGCGUGAAGGAUGACUGCCCUAUGGGUUGUAAACUUCUUUUAUACGGGAAUAAAGUUAGCCACGUGUGGUUUUUUUGUAUGUACCGUAUGAAUAAGGAUCGGCUAACUCCGUGCCAGCAGCCGCGGUAAUACGGAGGAUCCGAGCGUUAUCCGGAUUUAUUGGGUUUAAAGGGAGCGUAGGCGGGUUGUUAAGUCAGUUGUGAAAGUUUGCGGCUCAACCGUAAAAUUGCAGUUGAUACUGGCGACCUUGAGUGCAGUUGAGGCAGGCGGAAUUCGUGGUGUAGCGGUGAAAUGCUUAGAUAUCACGAAGAACUCCGAUUGCGAAGGCAGCUUACUGGAUUGUAACUGACGCUGAUGCUCGAAAGUGUGGGUAUCAAACAGGAUUAGAUACCCUGGUAGUCCACACAGUAAACGAUGAAUACUCGCUGUUGGCGAUAUACAGUCAGCGGCCAAGCGAAAGCAUUAAGUAUUCCACCUGGGGAGUACGCCGGCAACGGUGAAACUCAAAGGAAUUGACGGGGGCCCGCACAAGCGGAGGAACAUGUGGUUUAAUUCGAUGAUACGCGAGGAACCUUACCCGGGCUUAAAUUGCAACUGACGGAACCGGAAACGGUUCUUUCUUCGGACAGUUGUGAAGGUGCUGCAUGGUUGUCGUCAGCUCGUGCCGUGAGGUGUCGGCUUAAGUGCCAUAACGAGCGCAACCCUUACGGGUAGUUACCAUCAGGUUAUGCUGGGGACUCUACCCGGACUGCCGUCGUAAGAUGUGAGGAAGGUGGGGAUGACGUCAAAUCAGCACGGCCCUUACGUCCGGGGCUACACACGUGUUACAAUGGGGGGUACAGAAGGCAGCUACACGGCGACGUGGUGCUAAUCCCAAAAGCCUCUCUCAGUUCGGACUGGAGUCUGCAACCCGACUCCAUGAAGCUGGAUUCGCUAGUAAUCGCGCAUCAGCCACGGCGCGGUGAAUACGUUCCCGGGCCUUGUACACACCGCCCGUCAAGCCAUGAAAGCCGGGGGUACCUGAAGUACGUAACCGCGAGGAGCGUCCUAGGGUAAAACUGGUGACUGGGGCUA